UACGUAGGGUGCGAGCGUUGCCCGGAUUUAUUGGGCGUAAAGAGCUCGUAGGCGGUUUGUUGCGUCUAUCGUGAAAACCUGCAGCUUAACUGUGGGCUUGCGGUGGAUACGGGCAGACUUGAGUUCGGUAGGGGAGACUGGAAUUCCUGGUGUAGCGGUGAAAUGCGCAGAUAUCAGGAGGAACACCGGUGGCGAAGGCGGGUCUCUGGGCCGAUACUGACGCUGAGGAGCGAAAGCGUGGGGAGCGAACAGG
rnacentral:rRNA from 1 species